CCUCGGCUACAUUAACAACUUCUCUUCCUUGUUGCGUUGAAGCAGGCAGGACGUGUUGAGCCUGGGAGACAAGAACAACAUGCGUGAAGCUUCAACAAAGGAUUUACAAACCAGGACUAAAGGAGUCUUGCUAAGGAUUGAAGAGCCUGGAAUGGAUGCAUGUUGAUCAGGUUGGUAUAGAAGAAGCUGAUGUCUACUGCUACAGCCCUGCAAACAUUUAACCUUUUACUGCAUGCACUUUCAUUUUGUAGGCUCAUUUGUGAUGUGUAUGUGCCCUCAUUAAUAUUCAUUUUGAUAUGUUAUAUAUAUAUAUAUAUAUACUAUUAGUUUAAGGGCAAAUUGAAAUUAGAACAUAUGUAAAGUCUUUUAUAAUCUCAAACUGUUUAGACUACAUCCAUACUUAAAAUGUUGUGUAUGAACUUGUAAAUAAAAGUAACAUCUCUUAUUAAAACUCUGUAUUGUCAUCUUUAUUUGCCUUAAAUGGAGUUCAUAUGUAGUUUGGUUUGAGGUAUUAGUCAAAGGAAUUGAACAGGGAGACCUUAUUGAAUGAAUGGUAAACUGUCUACCGACCCAUCAAUGAAAACGGUUGAGGAAACAUUGUAAAAG